AUGGAGGCGGUGGUGGGCGUGCCACCGCUGUGCUCGUGCGCCUAUGAGCUGCAGAUGACCAGCCAACGCUACCUCGACGCCCGAACGGAUGGUGAGUUCCGCGGCGGGCAUCCGGUAGGAGCGGUGAACAUAACAUAUAUGCAUGUACAACACCAGCUCAGGAAAUCUCUGGACAUGACAAAAGGCAGUCUGGAUGUACUUUCUCUCGCAAACCGGAGACAACACAUGGGGGAGGGGGGCUUUGCACGCGUCCGGACAACACCUACGACCGCUUCUGACAACACCUUUGCCCGCAUUCAUGCCUCCGGGUACCGCCCCAUGCACGCCAAGGGUACCGCCCCGCUGCACGCCGGCUAA
rnacentral:rRNA from 1 species